AUACGUAGGGGGCGAGCGUUGUCCGGAAUGAUUGGGCGUAAAGGGCGCGUAAGCGGCCCGGUAAGUCUGGAGUGAAAGUCCUGUUUUUAAGAUGGGAAUUGCUUUGGAUACUGUCGGGCUUGAGUGCAGGAGAGGUAAGUGGAAUUCCCAGUGUAGCGGUGAAAUGCGUAGAGAUUGGGAGGAACACCAGUGGCGAAGGCGACUUACUGGACUGUAACUGACGCUGAGGCGCGAAAGUGUGGGGAGCAAACAGGAUUAGAUACCCUGGUAGUCCACACUGUAAACGAUGAGUGCUAGGUGUAGGGGGUAUCGACCCCUUCUGUGCCGCAGUCAACACAAUAAGCAUUCCGCCUGGGGAGUACGGCCGCAAGGUUGAAACUCAAAGGAAUUGGCGGGG
rnacentral:rRNA from 1 species